rnacentral:misc_RNA from 1 species
GUGGCUCAGAAGAUCACUGGCAUUCAGAAGCUUCAAGUUAGACGCCUUCUUCUCAAAGUGCUUUUUGGUGUUGCCUAUCUUGGACCAUUUGGGCAUUUUCUUCACUUAUUACUGGACAAACUUUUCAAGGGGAAGAAAGACAAGAGUACAGUUGCCAAAAAGGUGUUGCUGGAACAAAUUACUGUGUCACCCUGGAAUAACUUGCUUUUCAUGGUUUACUAUGGAAUGGUUAUUGAAAAAAGACCCUGGAUCCAGGUGAAAUCUAAUAUCAAGAGAGAAUAUCCAAAAGUGCAGUAUACGGCGUGGGCGUUUUGGCCAGUUGUUGGGUGGGUAAAUCACUUGUAUGUUCCUCUGCAAUUAAGAGUAGUCUUUCACAGCAUUAUUGCAUGUUGCUGGGGAAUAUUUUUGAAUCUACGUGCAAGGUCGAUGGUCUUGAAAAAGGCUUGAAAUCCUCCAAGUUGAUAUAUGAACAUGGAAACAUCUCCUUGUGUUAGUUGAAUUGAAAAUGGUAGCUUGGAAUUGCUUAUUCUGUUUUGAUUUUCAUGUUUUCGCUGAUUCCUUCAGAACCAAGACAAAGUUCAUUUAGCGAUAAAUUGGUUGUUGUCCCUUUUCAUUGGGCAAGUGCAUAGGCAGAAUGUUGCACCCAUGGUAAUGUGAAAAGUUGUCUGUUAGGAAAAAAAAAACAAUGCUUUUCAAAUGUGACUUAAAAAAACAAGAUUGUGG